rnacentral:rRNA from 1 species
GACGAACGCUGGCGGCGUGCUUAACACAUGCAAGUCGAACGGAAAGGCCCUGCUUUUGUGGGGUGCUCGAGUGGCGAACGGGUGAGUAACCCGUGAGUAACCUGCCCUUGACUUUGGGAUAACUUCAGGAAACUGGGGCUAAUACCGGAUAGGAGCUCCUGCUGCAUGGUGGGGGUUGGAAAGUUUCGGCGGUUGGGGAUGGACUCGCGGCUUAUCAGCUUGUUGGUGGGGUAGUGGCUUACCAAGGCUUUGACGGGUAGCCGGCCUGAGAGGGUGACCGGCCACAUUGGGACUGAGAUACGGCUCAGACUCCUACGGGAGGCAGCAGUGGGGAAUAUUGCACAAUGGGCGGAAGCCUGAUGCAGCAACGCCGCGUGCGGGAUGACGGCCUUCGGGUUGUAAACCGCUUUCGCCUGUGACGAAGCGUGAGUGACGGUAAUGGGUAAAGAAGCACCGGCUAACUACGUG